AUUGAACGCUGGCGGCAUGCCUUACACAUGCAAGUCGAACGGCAGCACGGGAGCAAUCCUGGUGGCGAGUGGCGAACGGGUGAGUAAUAUAUCGGAACGUGCCCAGUAGUGGGGGAUAGCCCGGCGAAAGCCGGAUUAAUACCGCAUGAGACCUGAGGGUGAAAGCGGGGGAUCGCAGGACCUCGCGCUACUGGAGCGGCCGAUAUCAGAUUAGCUAGUUGGUGGGGUAAAGGCCUACCAAGGCAACGAUCUGUAGUUGGUCUGAGAGGACGGCCAGCCACACUGGGACUGAGACACGGCCCAGACUCCUACGGGAGGCAGCAGUGGGGAAUUUUGGACAAUGGGCGCAAGCCUGAUCCAGCAAUGCCGCGUGCAGGAAGAA
rnacentral:rRNA from 1 species